rnacentral:rRNA from 1 species
GCGAACGCUGGCGGCAGGCCUAACCCCUGCAAGUCGAACGCACCUUUCGGGGUUAGUGGCGGACGGGUGAGUAACACGUGGGAACGUGCCUUUAGGUUCGGAAUAACUCAGGGAAACUUGUGCUAAUACCGAAUGUGCCCUUCGGGGGAAAGAUUAAUCGCCUUUAGAGCGGCCCGCGUCUGAUUAGCUAGUUGGUUGAGGUAAUGGCUCACCAAGGCGACGAUCAGUAGCUGGUCUGAGAGGAUGAUCAGCCACAUUGGGACUGAGACACGGCCCAAACUCCUACGGGAGGCAGCAGUGGGGAAUCUUGCGCAAUGGGCGAAAGCCUGACGCAGCCAUGCCGCGUGAAUGAUGAAGGUCUUAGGAUUGUAAAAUUCUUUCACCGGGGACGAUAAUGGCGGUACCCGGAGAAGAAGCCCCGGCUAACUUCGUG